AAACUAAACACUUCAGACAUGACUAGCACAUAGUGAAAGAACCGAAACAGCCAAACACCUCUUGAUUCUGUACUCUACAUAUCUAUUUGAUUUAUAGUAUGAAGCCAUAAACCAAUCUGCGUGCGUACUGGCAAGGGAUGUGGCCAGCAAAGGAGAUGCUCUGGUGGCGGGGAACAUCUCACAGGUGCCGGAUUAUCUAAGCGGGCCUGGAAAGGAGGUAGUGCAGAAAGAAGACAAACGGAUAUUUUUAUCCAGAAUGACGUCGAUUUCUUGAUAGGGGAGCUGUUUUGGUAUGUUGAGCAAGCCGAAUGGGCAACAGAAAUGAUAAAGGCCACAGGGAAACCAGUCGUUGUGUGUCUGUCCAUCAGUUUAACCGGCGAUAUGACUGGUAUUCUGCCUGGGGAAUGCGCUGUUAGAGUAGCACGUGCUGGUAAAAUCCCAGCAUUUGUUUAGCUGUCAUGAAAGAAAUGAAGACUGCUUUGGAAAAAGAAGGUCUUCAACGCCAUCUGAUAGUGCACCUGUUUGUUAUCACACCCCUGAGCUGACAUAUGACCGCAUAGGAUUGUCUGGUCUGCCUGAGUUCCCAUUUGCUCUUGAAUCUCGCCCAAUGAGCCGCUAGGACGUGCAGAAGUACGCUCGUGAGGCGUAUGACAUGGGAAUCAGGUACAUUGGAGCCUGCCGUGGAUAUGAGCCUUAUCGUGUUCGAGUCAUAGCGGAAGUGCUCGCUAAAGGGAGGGGUAAAUUACCUCCAGCUAGCGAGAAGCAUGGCCUGUGGGGAGACGCCCUACGGCAGCACACUCAUCCGUG